GAUGAACGCUGGCGGCGUGCCUAAUACAUGCAAGUCGAACGCAUAGCGAAAGGUGCUUGCACCUUUCAAGUGAGUGGCGAACGGGUGAGUAACACGUGGACAACCUGCCUCAAGGCUGGGGAUAACAUUUGGAAACAGAUGCUAAUACCGAAUAAAACUUAGUGUCGCAUGGCACAAAGUUAAAAGGCGCUUCGGCGUCACCUAGAGAUGGAUCCGCGGUGCAUUAGUUAGUUGGUGGGGUAAAGGCCUACCAAGACAAUGAUGCAUAGCCGAGUUGAGAGACUGAUCGGCCACAUUGGGACUGAGACACGGCCCAAACUCCUACGGGAGGCUGCAGUAGGGAAUCUUCCACAAUGGGCGAAAGCCUGAUGGAGCAACGCCGCGUGUGUGAUGAAGGCUUUCGGGUCGUAAAGCACUGUUGUAUGGGAAGAACAGCUAGAAUAGGAAAUGAUUUUAGUUUGACGGUACCAUACCAGAAAGGGACGGCUAAAUACGUG
rnacentral:rRNA from 1 species